AUGGAGUUAAAUUUCUUUUAUUUAGCAUUUUUUUUGAUGUUCUGAAACAGACAUAUGCAAUGUAAAAUCCAUAUCACUGGUUGCUCAGGACUAUACACAGGGAAAUGCAUGCUUAGAUUAACGUCAAAGUGGGCCAGUUCCCUACUAAACCAUAUGAAAUGAUAGAUUGAUCCUCUUGGGUGAGUAACUUUAUUUUAGGAACACUAAACCUCCUCUAGACAUGUUCUGUUCCCUCAUGACUGUUGUGUGUAAUUGUUUUCAUGCACAGUACUGACAUUGGUACGGUGUAACAGGGCCCUAGGCCACAUCCCAAGCAAGUCUAACAAGUGAGACAACCCAAAUCAUUAUAUACCACACAGGACAAAAGUUCAAGAGAAUAUAGAUUUAGUUUUCUUCAAUCAACUGAUUUAGUAUAGACAAUAAAAUAAGGAAAUUAUUUAACAGUACGUUGAUUUAACUUUUACUGAGACAUGGAACCAUAUAACCUCUUUCCACUUAAACCCUAUUCCCAGUUCCAUUACCCAUCACAAUCAAAAUGUACAAUAUAAUAGAAGUGAAUAUAGAAUAUCCCAUUAUUCCAGCCAUUUAAAGUUGAAUUCUUGAAUACAUAUUGUUGCUAUAUGAUGAAAUAACACAUGAUAAUGAAGUUCCACAUUAAAAUAUUACAUUAAGCAUCAGUAAAAUACUUGUCUAGGUGCAGGAACCAUAUCACUUGCUUAAAGUUUGCUUUUUCCAUAUCAAGAAAGUAUAUUUUUGUUCACUUUGUAUUGUUAUACAGACUUAAGAAUAGUUACAUACAAGUCUUCUUCUGGAUUUGUCCACGCCAUUGCGUACAUGAUGCCAAUUUAACAUGCACACUAUUACUAGGAUUAAACACACUUUAGUGAAGAUAGCACAUUAAUUAUCAAAAUAUAAAGCUUCUGCACAAAUUGAAAAAGCUUUCACUGAUGCUUGGCCAAUACAAUACAAAUGAUUUGGCAGCCUACUUUAAAAGUAACUCCCAUCCUGACAGAUAUGUAUGAGCAGCUUUGAUGAAAAGAACAACAUAGGAAUGGUUUUAUAUCGAAAGUUUAAGUAAGAAAAAAGUAAAAUGACAGACUUUGAAACAUUUUUAAUAAGUGUACAAUAAACAUUUUACCCCUCCUCCCAAAAUUUAUGCUACCCAAAUCCCAAUCCAGAAAAAGUGCAAAAUAAAUCAAGGUAUUCAAAAUAAAUCAAGGUAUUCAAAAGUAUGAGAUUUAACAUAACAUUUUUAGAAGUCAAAAUUGUCUCCCUUCUUUGCCCCACGCUUUGCUGUUUUCAAAUUCUUUGGACUUAGGUAUAGUACUGUUAUGUCCCAUCAUUGCUGCAGUUUGUGUGUAUAACACAGAGCUAGGGUACCUUAUAUUAAUGUAAUGUUAGAGCAGUAAGACACAUGGUAUAGCAAUGCAGAUUGAAGACCGUAGGUAUCUAGCCUUCUUGCAUCCGAAGGUAGCAUGAACAUUGCAAUUCCCAAUCAAAAGAAGCGAUAAAUCCGUUCAGUCUCAAGACUGUCAAACAAGGCCUGAGGAAAAUGAGUCACCUUCAUGCACCAGAAAAUGUUUCUUUAGUUUUGCAAUUUUUUUAAAAUUUUUUAAAUUUUGUAAUUUUUUUUUUUUUUUUGCAUUUCAUUCCUGUUUCAAGAUGCAGCUGAAAAAACCUCAAGCAAAGACACGGCAGUGAGUUUAUACCCGAAACACCUGGACUUCCAUAAUUAGAUGCAAUAUAUAUCUGUAUAUAUGUCUUUUAUAUAUAUAUAUUUAUAUGUAUAUAUAGAUGUAGAUGCUUAUCGGCACAGGACAAAGACAUCACAGGGUAGCAGGCAUAGAGGUGUCAGAGUCCCAUAAAAAAAGAUUUAUCUUUGCCGCUGAAAUUACAAAACCCAUCUUGAAAGGGGGGCUUCAUGUGAGAAGAAUAAAGCAAGUAAGUAUAUAUAUAUUUAAAUCUCAACACUGUCAUAUGGACAUGGAAGUGUUGUUUUGUGUCAUACAUGCAGUACACACAGUUCAUGUAUAUUUCCACAAACUGUACAUGCAGGUGUGAAUGCCGUGUGCAUGAAGAGUGUGCUUGCAUGACCAGUUGGCAUCUGUUGACGGAUGAAAUAUUCCAGUUAUGAACAGAAAACCCU